rnacentral:rRNA from 1 species
GGUAUUCCCCUAGUAGCGGCGAGCGAAGCGGGAAGAGCUCAAAUUUAUAAUCUGGCACCUUCGGUGUCCGAGUUGUAAUCUCUAGAAAUGUUUUCCGCGCUGGACCGCACACAAGUCUGUUGGAAUACAGCGGCAUAGUGGUGAGACCCCCGUAUAUGGUGCGGACGCCCAGCGCUUUGUGAUACAUUUUCGAAGAGUCGAGUUGUUUGGGAAUGCAGCUCAAAUUGGGUGGUAAAUUCCAUCUAAAGCUAAAUAUUGGCGAGAGACCGAUAGCGAACAAGUACCGUGAGGGAAAGAUGAAAAGCACUUUGGAAAGAGAGUUAACAGUACGUGAAAUUGUUGGAAGGGAAACGCUUGAAGUCAGACUUGCUUGCCGAGCAAUCGGUUUGCAGGCCAGCAUCAGUUUUCCGGGAUGGAUAAUGGUAGAGAGAAGGUAGCAGUUUCGGCUGUGUUAUAGCUCUCUGCUGGAUACAUCUUGGGGGACUGAGGAACGCAGUGUGCCUUUGGCGGGGGUUUCGACCUCUUCACACUUAGGAUGCUGGUGGAAUGGCUUUAAACGACCCGUCUUGAAACACGGACC